UUUUCAAACAUCCCCUGAACUUAUGGAACAUGUAAUGACAAUACAAAAUACCAAUUAUAAUUAAUAACUCAAAUUAAAUAAGAUAGAUUGCUACUCAUAUCCUUUUUUGUUGACUAUGGUUCAAAAUGUUCUUAUGAGCUAACUUCCCUGUUGCAAUAUGACUGAAACUCACUCCUCAUAACUUAAAAAUGAGAUGAGCAUACCUUGUUGAGAUCUUGUUUUGGUACUGCACACUCAUGGAAGAGAUAAAUAAGAGUCUCCCCAACAACUCGACGACAAAGACGACAACCGCCUCCAAUAUUGUAAUUGUCACAAAUUAUGAGUCCGUAGGCACUUCAUCUUCAGCUGCCCUGUAAAACACUUACUCCAGCUCCUCCAACUGCCGAGUAUUAGCCUCAUCAUAAAUUGAUAUCAUUGCACCCUGACGAUUGCCGAGAAAGUAUUCCUCUUCAAAAGGAUCGUCGCGAAAUUCUCAAACCAAAGAAACAUGAACGAAACCGCAUCAGUGACCUGAAGAUAUUGGUAGCUAUAAAGAUGGAUAUUUCAUAUAUGACUCACGGAUUUGAGGAGAAGCAAGUUGCCUCAAAUUAAAUUGAAUUUCUCAAGUUGACUGACUAAAAUAAUUAAUUUGCAAGAAGUUUACUAUAGAAAUUAAUAAUGCUUAGAUUACUUCUUCCAUAAUUUCGCCCAAAAUCUUAAACAGAACAACGGAUUGAGUUAUUAGCAUGUUAAGUGCGGAUAUCAAAUGCAAGUUUGCAAGCAUUACCGAACAACUUCGAAAGGUACAAUUGGCAUGGGAAGGAAGAAUGGAAGUUAUUAGAGACCAUGAAAUUAAAUUAAACUGGGGGAGAAAUGAAAAUGAGAAUGGAUAUAAAGAGGGUUGAACCAAUUCAAGACAUAAUUUGAAGGAGAAAUUAUCAGUUAAGCGUAUUUGAUGUCAAAUUCUUAAAUAGGGAGGUAGUUAGUAAAUGUAGAUAUUCACCUUGCGAUUGUAGACUGGGACUGAAUUGCACACAUAUAGAUGUUAGAUAUGCCAGGAGUACUUGACACCUGGUCU
rnacentral:lncRNA from 1 species